CAGGGUUUGACAUCCUGAGACCGCUCCUGAAAGGGAGUUUCCCGCAAGGGCUCAGAGACAGGUGCUGCAUGGCUGUCGUCAGCUCGUGUCGUGAGAUGUUGGGUUAAGUCCCGCAACGAGCGCAACCCUCGCCUUUAGUUGCCAUCAUUAAGUUGGGCACUCUAGAGGGACCGCCGGCGACAAGCCGGAGGAAGGUGGGGAUGACGUCAAGUCCUCAUGGCCCUUACACCCUGGGCUACACACGUGCUACAAUGGCGGUGACAGUGAGCAGCUAGUUCGCGAGAACGUGCUAAUCUCAAAAAACCGUUCCAGUUCAGAUUGCACUCUGCAACUCGAGUGCAUGAAGGUGGAAUCGCUAGUAAUCGCAGAACAGCAGGCUGCGGUGAAUACGUUCCC
rnacentral:rRNA from 1 species